rnacentral:rRNA from 1 species
GACGAACGCUGGCGGCGUGCUUAACACAUGCAAGUCGAACGAGUGGCGAACGGGUGAGUAAUACGUGAGUAACCUGCCCUCUUUUUGGGAUAAGCCUUGGAAACGGGGUCUAAUACCGGACAAAGGGGGAUGGGCUCGCGGCCUAUCAGCUUGUUGGUGGGGUGAUGGCCUACCAAGGCGGUGGCGGGUAGCCGGCCUGAGAGGGUGACCGGCCACAUUGGGACGGAGACACGGCCCAGACUCCUACGGGGGGCAGCAGUGGGGAAGUGUGCACAAUGGGGGAAAACCUGAGGCAGCGAGGCCGCGAGAUUUGGAAGUCGUUAGGAUUGUAAAAAUCUUUUCUAUGGGAAGCAGUACCAUAGUAAUAAGGACCGGCUAAUUACGUGCCAGCAGCCGCGGUAAUAC